CAUGGGGAAAAAACAACGUUCAACUUCAGUAACGGGCUUAAAAGGGAGAGGCACGUUCCUAGGCUGGAAGAACUCAAAGUAUCUCAAAACUGGAUUACUCUCUGCCACUGAAAAGCUGACACUCGUGGCGCCUUUGAGCAUGAAACUUCCUUCUACACCCGUCUCUGAACUGUCAUUGACAUGGAUU